UAUUAUAGAGGAUUAUUUUCGGUGCGGUUUUACUAAUAGAGAAAUCUUAAUUUUAUUGGAGGAAUCACACAAUAUAAAGCUCAGUUUACGGACUCUUGAGAGAACGUUAUGUAGGAAUCAGUUGUGGCGGAGACGCAAUAAAACAGACGAGGCCGACGUGGCACGUUUUAUACACCAACAGCUACAGACAUCGGGACGACAACAUGGAUAUCGUUGGAUGCACCAGAAAUGUUGGCUGUCUGGCAUUAUUACAGACAGAGAAACUGUCCGCCAGUUGAUGCGGCUGUUAGAUGGACAAGGGGUUGAUCUGCGCGCUCGCGGUCGUCUACGGCGACGCAUGUAUAACAGCCGCGGACCAAACUAUGUUUGGCAUAUUGACGGAUACGACAAGUUAAAACCUUACGGAAUAUGCAUAAACGGAUGCAUUGACGGGUUUUCCAGAAAAAUGAUCUGGCUUGAAGCAUACAAAACGAACAAUGACCCACGAGUAAUUGCGGGUUAUUUCCUACAAGCUGUGGCUGAAAAUAACGGAUUUCCACAAAGAAUUCGCAUUGACCAUGGAACUGAAAAUACGCAUUUAGCAGAUAUGCAGACAUUCUUCAGAGGCACUGCUAGUGCCGAAUCUGUCACUCUUGGUCCAAGCACGGGGAACCAGAGAAUUGAACGAUGGUGGUCCACUUUGAGAAGCCAGUGCAUACAAUUUUGGAUGGAUCAUUUUGAACAGCUAAAAGAAGAUGGGCACUUUGUUGAUACGUUCAUUGACAAAUCUCUCAUCCAGUUCUGUUUUCAGCAUUCUAUACAGGAAGAGCUUGAUGAAAUAGUCAGUGCCUGGAAUUGCCACAGGAUAAGGCCAACUCACAACCCACGUGCUCCCAGUGGUCGACCUUCAAUAAUGUUUGCAGUUCCCAGCUUAUAUGGAGUGCAGAAUUUCUUGCAUCCAAUUGAACAAACAAAACUGAGUAUUUGUAAAGAGGAGUGUUUAGUUAAAGACUACCCUUGUGAUGAGGAUGUCUUUCAACUGUGCGUACAACUCCUGGAUGAACAUAACCUUGCACUGUCAGAUGAUGUUUAUGAAAUUACAGACCUGUACCUUAAGCUUCGUGAACUGAUCCUUGAAGGACUGGACUUGGAUUACUAGAUGCACCAUUGAGAUCUUAUCUACAACAUUCACUAGAAGUCCCAAAAGAACCUUCUGGGGUUAAAAAUCUCUGCAAUUCCCACCUUACUUUCACUGUGCUGUGUCUGUCUUUCAAGAUAACAGGAUUAUGGGAUCAAUAAACCUAUACAUAUUAAGAUGGAACAACUGUUUACAUGAUUUUCAUACACCCUUCAGGAUCCCUUGUCUGUCAGACACAGUGCUUAAGAAUGAAUCAAUAAUUUGUUCCAGACCAUCCCAUCAUCAAGUGCAAAAGAAGGCCAGCAAGCUUAGAUGAGAUAAGAAUAAAAAUGCAUCAAGAUGCACUUCAUACAAAAUUAAAUUAAUAAUUUUUUUAUGACUACUUUUUAAAUGUAUAAACAUCUUUCCCAACUACAGUAAUGUAAAUUUUUUACAUGAUUUCAAACACUUUUGUGGUGCUCCACCUUUACUUUCAGACCUAACCUGAAUGCAAAUGAAACAGAGGACGUGAGUUUUAGAAGAAACAGUGUUUUGCUACUAAAAAGUAAAACAAUUUUGUUUAAACUGUAAAGCAUUAGUACUGAAACUGUUCAAAAUUGAUAGAAUUUUCAUUUGUUUCACCUUGAAAAGAGUAUAAAGGGGAGGUAUAUUUAAAAUAUAAACUAAAGGGUUUUACAGGUAAACUGAUAUGUUGUCUGUAUUUUGUGUUAUACCUAAAA